rnacentral:misc_RNA from 1 species
GUGAAUCAUCGAAUCUUUGAACGCAAAUUGCACUCUCUGGUAUUCCGGAGAGUAUGCCUGUUUGAGGGUCAGUUUAAAUAAAAUUAGGUUUGGUUGCUGCCUUUCGUGGUGACGGACCGGCUUUGGUUUGUCUUGCCCUAGGUUCAGUGACAUGAACUUUUUCAUGAGUUUUUUGGAACGUAUUUAUAUGAUUUUACGUAAGUUUGCGUUAUCGAAUAC